AGGGAAAUUGCCACAAAUACCACAUUCAUAGUACCACUUUUCAUGUUUACACUAACCACUUUUACCCUCACUUUUAAUGAAGGGUAAAAUACAAUUAUACCCUUAGGGUUAACUAAUCUAGACUUAGGGUUUAGAGUUGAGGGGUGGGGUAGGGUUUUUGGAAUGUGAAAUUUAUGAUUCUAAUAAAUAUAUAAAUACUUAAAAAUAUAAAAAAAAAUAGUUUCAAACAUAAUUUUCGUUUUUCAAAAAGAAAUUUGAAAAAAAUUAAAAAAAAAAAUUCGAAAAAAAAAAUUGAAAAAAAAGUUUUA
rnacentral:lncRNA from 1 species